AAUGAACGUUGGCGGCGUGGAUUAGGCAUGCAAGUCGUGCGGGAGUAGCAAUACUCUAGCGGCGAAAGGGAGAGUAACACGUGGAUACCAACCCUUGGGACUGGGAUAGCUACGGGAAACUGUAGGUAAUACCAGAUGACGUCUCCGGACCAAAGGUGUGAUUCCGCCCGAGGACGGGUCCGCGUUCUAUUAGCUAGUUGGUAGGGUAACGGCCUACCAAGGCCAAGAUGGAUACGGGGUGUGAGAGCAUGCCCCCGCUCACUGGGACUGAGAUACUGCCCAGACACCUACGGGUGGCUGCAGUCGAGGAUCUUCGGCAAUGGGCGCAAGCCUGACCGAGCGACGCCGCGUGCGAGAUGAAGGCCUCCGGGUUGUAAAUCGCUGUCAGUGGGGAGGAAGUGCCGGUGGGUUCUCCCAUCGGUUUGACCUAUCCGCAGAGGAAGGACGGGCUAAGUUCGUGCCAGCCGCCGCAGUAACAC
rnacentral:rRNA from 1 species